GGGGAAAGUCUUUGACUUGCUAGCCAGCCGUAGUAGUAAUAAUACGAAUCAACCCCCCGAAGAGUUAAGAGAGAUUCAAACUCAAAUCGAGCAUUUGACUAUCCACUUUGAUGAGGGUAGCGUCCAUGAGUCUGCAGGCCAGUUGAAGGGGAAGUUCUUCAAUAAGGAUAGACAAUCAGCUAGGGAUUACCUUCUUGAUAAAUUGAAGGAUGAUAAAGAUAAAGAUAUUGUUAGAGGUAUGGGCACCUAUACACUGGAAUGUGUAGCAAUACAUGUGUUAAGCAAGCUGUUUAAUGUGUUUUCUUUGGAAAAGACUAGUGUGCUAGCAGCCGCAUUGAUAUCAGAGCUAGAUAUAACAGCUAAGACGGAAUAUAAUAAUGCACUAUUAGCUAAAAUGCAGCGCGAAAAGGAAUAAACUGAAAAGCUAAUAAAGCGCUAUGAUGAAAAGCUGGCCAAGGCUGCAAUGAUGAAUGAAGGUACUGAUACAAAUAUUGAUAAUAUACACGAUGAUAAAAAGCUUAAGGGUAUGGAAUCACCUGUGGGUAUUAUCCCUGUCCUGGGAACAGAUGGGAGACAUAUAGACUAAUCUAUACAGAAUAAAUCGAGUAGUAAUAAAAAGAGCACUAAAAAGAGUGAUGUUAUAAGGAAACGAAUACGUAAAGGUUAGGUUGGGUUUCUGAUGUAUAUCAUUUAUUAUAUGAAACCAAAAAGAAGAAAUGACAAGAAAGUUGUAUAUAGAUGGAGGAUAAAAUUACGAUGUGGAAAACAAGACAGGGUUUUUUUUUGUACAAUGACACUGUACAACAAUUUGGAAAAGGGAUGUAGCGCAGCUUGGUAGCGCGUUUGUUUUGGGUACAAAAUGUAACGGGUUCAAAUCCAGUCAUCCCUACCUAUUACUUCUCCUAUGGGCAGUAACGAGGGAUCAAUUGAGAUCGAUUCAAAUUGGACAAAAUUAAGAGUUUAAUUUUGCUAUAUGCAUGCGGUACAAAAAUCAUCCUUUUCUUUACUGCUUUAUCUCCUGUCGUAAGAAAGCGCUCUUAGUUCAGUUCGGUAGAACGUGGGUCUCCAAAACCCAAUGUCGUAGGUUCAAAUCCUACAGAGCGUGAUUCUUU
rnacentral:tRNA from 1 species